GACGAACGCUGGCGGCGUGCUUAACACAUGCAAGUCGAACGGAAAGGCCCUGCUUUUGUGGGGUGCUCGAGUGGCGAACGGGUGAGUAACACGUGAGUAACCUGCCCUUGACUUUGGGAUAACUUCAGGAAACUGGGGCUAAUACCGGAUAGGAGCUCCUGCUGCAUGGUGGGGGUUGGAAAGUUUCGGCGGUUGGGGAUGGACUCGCGGCUUAUCAGCUUGUUGGUGGGGUAGUGGCUUACCAAGGCUUUGACGGGUAGCCGGCCUGAGAGGGUGACCGGCCACAUUGGGACUGAGAUACGGCCCAGACUCCUACGGGAGGCAGCAGUGGGGAAUAUUGCACAAUGGGCGGAAGCCUGAUGCAGCAACGCCGCGUGCGGGAUGACAGCCUUCGGGUUGUAAACCGCUUUCGCCUGUGACGAAGCGUGAGUGACGGUAAUGGGUAAAGAAGCACCGACUAACUACGUG
rnacentral:rRNA from 1 species